rnacentral:rRNA from 1 species
UGCAGUCGAACGCACUCGACCUUCGGGUCACAUGAGUGAGUGGCGAACGGGUGAGUAACACGUGAGGAACCUGCCCCGAAGACUGGAAUAACCCGAGGAAACUCGGGCUAAUACCGGAUAUCCCCACCAGGUCGCAUGGCCAGGUGAGGAAAUGCUCCGGCGCUUCGGGAGGGUCUCGCGACCUAUCAGCUAGUUGGUGAGGUAACGGCUCACCAAGGCAUCGACGGGUAGCUGGUCUGAGAGGACGAUCAGCCACACUGGGACUGAGACACGGCCCAGACUCCUACGGGAGGCAGCAGUGGGGAAUCUUGCGCAAUGGGCGAAAGCCUGACGCAGCCACGCCGCGUGAGGGAUGAAGGCUUUCGGGUUGUAAACCUCUUUCAGCAGGGACGAAAAUGACGGUACCUGCAGAAGAAGCUCCGGCCAACUACGUGCCAGCAGCCGCGGUAACACGUAGGGAGCAAGCGUUGUCCGGAUUUAUUGGGCGUAAAGAGCUCGUAGGCGGUUCAGUCAGUCGGGUGUGAAAACUUGAGGCUCAACCUCAAGAGGCCACUCGAUACUGCUGUGACUAGAGUCCGGUAGAGGAGUGUGGAAUUCCUGGUGUAGCGGUGAAAUGCGCAGAUAUCAGGAGGAACACCGACAGCGAAGGCAGCACUCUGGGCCGGUACUGACGCUGAGGAGCGAAAGCAUGGGGAGCGAACAGGAUUAGAUACCCUGGUAGUCCAUGCCGUAAACGUUGGGCACUAGGUGUGGGGUCUCGCUAACAGAUUCCGUGCCGCAGCUAACGCAUUAAGUGCCCCGCCUGGGGAGUACGG